rnacentral:tRNA from 1 species
UAGAAAGUAAUAUAAGGGAAGUAUGGAGAAUUUUGAUUUCUCUAGUGUAGGUUCGACUCCUGCUUUUCUAA